AGUCGAACGGCAGCACGGGAGCAAUCCCUGGUGGCGAGUGGCGAACGGGUGAGUAAUAUAUCGGAACGUGCCCAGUCGUGGGGGAUAACGCAGCGAAAGCUGUGCUAAUACCGCAUACGAUCUACGGAUGAAAGCGGGGGAUCGCAAGACCUCGCGCGAUUGGAGCGGCCGAUAUCAGAUUAGGUUGUUGGUGGGGUAAAAGCCCACCAAGCCGACGAUCUGUAGCUGGUCUGAGAGGACGACCAGCCACACUGGAACUGAGACACGGUCCAGACUCCUACGGGAGGCAGCAGUGGGGAAUUUUGGACAAUGGGCGCAAGCCUGAUCCAGCAAUGCCGCGUGCAGGAUGAAGGCCUUCGGGUUGUAAACUGCUUUUGUACGGAACGAAACGGUCUGCUCUAAUACAGUGGGCUAAUGACGGUACCGUAAGAAUAAGCACCGGCUAACUACGUGCCAGCAGCCGCGGUAAUACGUAGGGUGCGAGCGUUAAUCGGAAUUACUGGGCGUAAAGCGUGCGCAGGCGGUUAUAUAAGACAGAUGUGAAAUCCCCGGGGCUCAACCUGGGACCUGCAUUUGUGACUGUAUAGCUAGAGUGCGGCAGAGGGGGGAUGGAAUUCCGCGUGUAGCAGUGAAAUGCGUAGAUAUGCGGAGGAACACCGAUGGCGAAAGCAAUCCCCUGGGCCUGCACUGACGCUCAUGCACGAAAGCGUGGGGAGCAAACAGGAUUAGAUACCCUGGUAGUCCACGCCCUAAACGAUGUCAACUGGUUGUUGGGUCUUCACUGACUCAGUAACGAAGCUACGCGUGAAGUUGACCGCCUGGGGAGUACGGCCGCAAGGUUGAACUCAAGGAAUUGACGGGGACCCGCACAAGCGGUGGAUGAUGUGGUUUAAUUCGAUGCAACGCGGAAAAACCUUACCCACC
rnacentral:rRNA from 1 species